GACGAACGCUGGCGGCGUGCCUAACACAUGCAAGUCGAACGAGACCUUCGGGUCUAGUGGCGCACGGGUGCGUAACGCGUGGGAAUCUGCCCUUGGGUUCGGAAUAACAGUUAGAAAUGACUGCUAAUACCGGAUAAUGACGUAAGUCCAAAGAUUUAUCGCCCAAGGAUGAGCCCGCGUAGGAUUAGCUUGUUGGUGAGGUAAAGGCUCACCAAGGCGACGAUCCUUAGCUGGUCUGAGAGGAUGAUCAGCCACACUGGGACUGAGACACGGCCCAGACUCCUACGGGAGGCAGCAGUGGGGAAUAUUGGACAAUGGGCGAAAGCCUGAUCCAGCAAUGCCGCGUGAGUGAUGAAGGCCUUAGGGUUGUAAAGCUCUUUUACCCGGGAUGAUAAUGACAGUACCGGGAGAAUAAGCCCCGGCUAACUCCGUGCCAGCCGCCGCCGUAA
rnacentral:rRNA from 1 species